GGAGAAUAAUACUUUACGAAAUUCGGGAGUGUGUAGUAGGAAAGACAUGCUAUUGCUAUUUCCCAUCACUCGUCACUCUGAUGUGUCACUGAAUAAACAUAACGAUGCGAGACAUGGAAGAACCUUACAACAGAGGUAUGAUUACUGCCUAUGAUAUUUUUAGGGCAGUAGAAGAUGUCACUAGAAGAAGACAAAUAACUCAGCUUGAUGAGGAUGAACUGGUAGAACCGAAAGCUGAUUCAAGUAGUACAAACAUACCCC
rnacentral:lncRNA from 1 species